CACGUAGGGCGCAAGCGUUGUCCGGAAUUAUUGGGCGUAAAGAGCUCGUAGGUGGUUCGGUAAGUCGGAUGUGAAAUCUCCAGGCUCAACCUGGAGGGGUCAUUCGAUACUGCCGUGACUAGAGUUCGGUAGAGGAGUGUGGAAUUCCUGGUGGAGCGGUGAAAUGCGCAGAGAUCAGGAGGAACACCCGUAGCGAAGGCGGCACUCUGGGCCGAUACUGACACUGAGGAGCGAAAGCGUGGGGAGCGAACAGG
rnacentral:rRNA from 1 species